rnacentral:rRNA from 1 species
UACGAGGGGGCAAGCGUUGUUCGGAAUUACUGGGCGUAAAGCGUGCGUAGGUGGUUUGUUAAGUCUGAUGUGAAAGCCCUGGGCUCAACCUGGGAAUUGCAUUGGAUACUGGCAGGCUAGAGUGCGGUAGAGGAUGGCGGAAUUCCCGGUGUAGCAGUGAAAUGCGUAGAGAUCGGGAGGAACAUCUGUGGCGAAGGCGGCCAUCUGGACCAGCACUGACACUGAGGCACGAAAGCGUGGGGAGCAAACAGGG